rnacentral:rRNA from 1 species
CCUACGGGAGGCAGCAGUGGGGAAUAUUGCACAAUGGGGGAAACCCUGAUGCAGCAACGCCGCGUGAGUGAAGAAGGAUUUCGGUAUUGUAAGCUCUAUCAGCAGGGGAGAAAAGGACAGUACCUGACUAAGAAUCUCCGGCCAACUACGUGCCAGCAGCCGCGGUUAUACGUAGGGGGCAAGCGUUAUCCGGAUUUACUGGGUGUAAAGGGAGCGUAGACGGCUGCGUAAGUCAGAAGUGAAAGCCCGGGGCUCAACCGCGGGACUGCUGUUGAAACUGUGUAGCUAGAGUGCAGGAGAGGGAAGCGGAAUUCCUAGUGUAGCGGUGAAAUGCGUAGAUAUUAGGAGGAACACCGGUGGCGCAGGCGGCUUACUGGACUGUAACUGACGUUGAGGCUCGAAAGCGUGGGGAGCAAACAGGAUUAGAUACCCCGGUAGUC